rnacentral:tRNA from 1 species
CGGGAUUUAGCACAGCUUGGUAGUGCGCUUCGUUCGGGACGAAGAGGUCGCUGGUUCAAAUCCAGUAAUCCCGACCA